GUACAAUUAUCUUCAAAUUUUAUGUGCUUGUUACCAACUUAGUUGUUGAAAAGUUUGUAAAUUUUCAAGUAAGAUUGACGAUUUGGUUAAUAGAUAUUGAGGUUCUAAAAUAUACUAGGAUUAUAUUUAGUUGAUUAGGAUUUGUUUAGGAUUUGUUUUAGGAUUUGGUUUAGGAUUUAGAAUUUAUCUAAGAUUUAAUUUAGGAUUUAGGAUUUAGAAUUUGUUUAAGGUUUGAUUUUAGAUUUAGGAUUAGGAUUUUUUUAGGGUUUGAUUUAGGAUUUAAGAUUUUUCUAAGGUUUGGUUUAGGAUUUAGGAUUUAGGAUUUGUUUAAAGUUUGAUUUAGGGUUUAGAGUUAGGAUUUAUCUAAGAUUUGAUUUAGAAUUUAGGAUUUAUUUAAGAUUUGGUUUAGAGUUUAGGAUUAGGAUUUGUCUAAGAUUUGAUUUAGGAUUUAGAAUUUAUCUAGGGUUUAAUUUAUGGUUAGUUUAAGAUUUAAGAUUUGUUUAGAGUUUGGUUUAAGAUUUAGGAUUAGGAUUUGUCUAGGAUUUGGUUUAGGAUUUUGGAUUUAGUGUUUGUGUAGAAUUUAAUUUAUGAUUUAGAAGUUAGAACUUUUUUAGGAUUUAUCAAGGAUUUGUUUAGGAUUUAGGAUUCAGGAUUUAUUUGGAGUUUGAUUGAAGUCCAUUAGGAUUUUAAGUAGGAUUAAAUUAAAACUUGAUUGAAAUUUAUUUAAAAUAUAUUUGUGAUUA
rnacentral:lncRNA from 1 species